AUGCCUCUUUUCUCUGGCCCAGGCUUUGUGAAGGAGAAAGGAAGAGGCAUGCUAUUUUACACAGGUACGGUACACUGUGGUGUCCCAACAUGCUAUUGUUUUUACUGUGAGGACCAUUAGAUGUUAGAUCAGCUAUUACCUAACAAAAUUAUCCUGACCAUAAUGAUUAUAUCCUUUUAUCUAAGGUAAUAUGUUGGUUAUAUAUAUAUAUUUUAACAAGAACAAAUUAACUUUUACUGGUUUAUUGAUUUACUUGACAAAAUAAUAUUUUGAACGAUUUCAUCUUUUUAGUUUCUUAUUUAAUAAUGAAUGUGAAUUUUUAAAAUACAUUUACAAUAAGUAAUAUUUUAUAGCUAGUUUAUAAUAUAAAUACUGUAUUACUUUGGAUUUUGGCCUGUGGUAAGUCAUGACCAUAAUGAAUAUAAUUAUCCACUAAUAGUAACAUUUUUUUUUUUUUUACUUUGUAAUUUUAUUAGUUUAUUGCUUAAAUUGCUGACUAAAUUUUUUUAAAAUGUAUACUGACACACACAUAUACAUACAUAAAACAACAUGCAUUUUUUGUAAUAUUUUUUUUCUUGGAUAUAUGUGAUAUUCAAAAUUAUAAUAUAAUAUAAUAUAAUAUAAUAUAAUAUAAGAUAAUAAUAAUAAUAAAUGAAUAGUCAAAUAAAAUACAUGAAUAAGAAUGUAGAAAAUUAAAGCAGAGAUCUCUGAAAACAACACUAAAAGGCAACUGUGAAAUAAGACCCAGCCAUUUACUUCAUCCAGUUUCUUGCAAUAAAAGCUCAUACAUUUACAAAAUUGCUCUGUGCAAUCAAAGAGUUUGACUCAUCUAAGAGACACAAAUGGUGCUGUCAUAACUUAUUUGUGUGUAGCGUGACAAACAUUUUAAUCUUAUGCCAGAUUAUGUGAAACAUUACACUGACUAUGAUGUUUUAGUGUGUUACGUAACGCUCACUGUGAAAUGCCAGAGUCACGGAUAGCUGGUUUGCCAGUGUGGCUUGCAAAGAUGAUGAAAUGUAAUUAAACAGGGCAGGGUCUUGCGGCCGCCGAAAGGUCUCACAUCAUGUGGGUAGCUGGUGUGAAAAGCUUCAUAGAUGCCUUAUAUUGUUAUUUAGUAUAAAAAAGUUAUUUCAUUAUAUAUUAUAGAGUCAAUAUCCUGAAUAUAUACACAACUCUUUUUUUUUUUUUUUUUUUUUUUACAAUUUUGGGGAAAAAAUAGUGUUUUCAAUCACCAAAACAAGGAAAGUUUAAUACAACUAAAAAAUUCACACAUUAGAAUGCAAAAAAUAAAUAAAAUAAGGGACAUUGUUGUAAAUUUUUACAAUAA
rnacentral:lncRNA from 1 species